rnacentral:pre_miRNA from 1 species
UCUUUGUAUGUAAGAAUUGGAGGAAAUUAAACCCAAUGCCAGAAACUAUUAAACAACUUUAUUGUUGGGUUUAAUUUCCUCCAAUAUCUUACCUCCAGUAU